rnacentral:rRNA from 1 species
GACAUAGGUCGCAAACGUUAUCCGGAAUUAUUGGGCGUAAAGGAUGCGUAGAUGGUUCAAUAAGUUACUGGUGGGAAAUCGAGGCUCAACCUCGUGGAAGUCAGUAAUACUGUUGAACUUGAGUGCAGGAGAGGUUAACGGAACUUUAUGUGGAGCGGUAAAAUGCGUAGAUAUAUGAAAGAACAUCAAUAUGGCGAAGGCAGUUAACUAUUCUGUUACUGACGUUGGAGGCAUGAAAGCGUGGGGAGCAAAACGG